GCCAGCGAAACUGAGUCACUGCACACCUGAGCGAAGAUGCAUCUGACGACGGAGGAAGGCAGGGCUGGUCCCAGACCUUUUCCCGAUUCCCGCUCGACUGGAAAAGCCAGCGUGAGCAAGACUCUCAGAGCCAGGAAGGAGCCAGGCCCAGAGGGAAAAACAGGUGGAACUGCAUCUGUAGGCUGGGUACAGUGCUUUGCAAGACAAAGCAGUGCCGUGGCUAGGACAGGUCUGCCAUCAGACAGCCUGGCUACCAACCCUGACGCUCCAGACAGCGCCACCUUGACUCUCUCCUACUGUGUGGGAAAGCAAUGGAAGAUGACCUAAAUCUUUGGGCCCCUGCACCUCGUGGGAGACCCACAAGAAGCUCCUGGCUCCUGAUCGGCCCAGCUCCGGCCAUCGCAGCCAUUUGAAAAAUGAGCCAGUGGAUGGAAGGUCUUCAUUUCUGUCUCUCCUUUUCUCUCUGUAACUCUGCCUCUCAAAUAAAUAAAUAAUCUUUAAAUAGAAUA